rnacentral:rRNA from 1 species
UACGUAGGGUGCAAGCGUUAAUCGGAAUUACUGGGCGUAAAGCGUGCGCAGGCGGUUUUGUAAGACCGAUGUGAAAUCCCCGGGCUCAACCCGGGAACUGCGUCCGAGACUGGCAGGCUCGAAUCCGGGAGAGGGAUGUGGAAUUCCAGGUGUAGCGGUGAAAUGCGUAGAUAUCUGGAGGAACACCGGUGGCGAAGGCGGCAUCCUGGACCGGUAUUGACGCUGAGGCGCGAAAGCCAGGGGAGCAAACGGG